rnacentral:rRNA from 1 species
UCGGAUCAGGUAGGAAUACCCGCUGAACUUAAAAUU